rnacentral:rRNA from 1 species
CGGACGUGAGGAACCUGCCUCAAAGAGGGGGACAACAGUUGGAGACGACUGCUAAUACCGCAUAAGCCCACAGCUCGGCAUCGAGCAGAGGGAAAAGGAGUGAUCCGCUUUGAGAUGGCCUCGCGUCCGAUUAGCUAGUUGGUGAGGUAAUGGCCCACCAAGGCGACGAUCGGUAGCCGGACUGAGAGGUUGAACGGCCACAUUGGGACUGAGACACGGCCCAG